rnacentral:misc_RNA from 1 species
GAUUAUGGGACUUCUUCAUAGUGGUAACUCCAGUUAAAACUAGAGAAUCAGGAAAAAAAAUUAAAAAAAUUCAGUAGGAAUCGUGUUCUUAAGUUUUCUAAUCAAGAGUGAAUUUGGUGACAAGCAGAUACGUGCCAUAUAAUUAAGUAUUGAUUUAACUUACUAAAGGAAUGUGAAGAACCGUAAAUACUCAUAGAUGAAGUUGAUAAAUGACAAUGCCCUUCAUCGAAAU